UACAGAGGUGGCAAGCGUUGUUCGGAAUUAAUGGGCGUAAAGGGCGCGUAGGCGGCCCGUCAAGUCCCGUGUGAAAGCCCCCGGCUCAACCGGGGAACUGCACGGGAAACUAGCAGGCUUGAGUUCGGGAGAGGGAAGCGGAAUUUCGGGUGUAGCGGUGAAAUGCGCAGAUAUCCGAAGGAACACCGGUGGCGAAGGCGGCUUCCUGGACCGACACUGACGCUGAGGCGCGAAAGCUAGGGGAGCAAACGGG
rnacentral:rRNA from 1 species